AGUUAUCUCCCUUAGUAUUGUAUAAUCAUUCAAUAUGGCUGACAUAAAUGUAGAGGAAGACACACCAUGUGUUCAGAGAACCUGUAAAGAAAAGAUUAUCUAUUAUUCAAAUAUGGCAGUUGGGUAAGAUGGAUGUGAAAAUGAAUCACAGUUUACAUGGUUUAGCAUACCAAAAUGAAGAUCCAUACCAAAUUUUCAAUUGCCAACUGGUAUCAGAUAGGAUUGUGGUUCUGAAAGAUUUUAAACAACUUUGCUGAAUCCAGUAGAAGAAUUGUAAAGGAAACAACAAAAUAGUCAAUUCAAAAUACAACAGCAAACAACUACAGCAGAUGACAUGGCCAACUCGCACUUCCCCAGACAACCAAGAUGGCGACCAUUGGUGACUACCGCCAGAAUGAAUGUGACCUUUGGCGGGAAAAUACAGCAACUAUCAACAUCUUUUUAACCAUACAAUAUCCUAAAAACAACAAGAAAAAAAAUGGUUAUGAUCCUAAAGGGGAAACGACUCUUACCAGCUUGUAAAACACAGCACCAUUGAAAUAAUGUAGGGCGGGCUAACAAGAGUUAGUGUAUGAUGUCAUAGAAUAGUCUGUGUCUGGUUUAUAUGUAAAGUAGCAAGGAACUUUACCUGUAUCAUACUUGAAAGAACACACAUUGUACAAAUAAAUGCUAUAUAUAAAUUAAAACGGAUGUUAGAAUCAUCGAUCAGUAUUAUAUAGAAUAAAAACAUGAAGAAACAACAUCUAGACAAUAAAGAAAAUAAUAGAUAAAAAAAAUGCCUACCCUUUAACUGGCCUCA